GUGUUUUGCAAAUUAUGAUCUUAAUAGGGGUUACAGGAAAAUACUUUUCAUUAGACUGCAAAGAUGGUUGCCCACUGAUCAAACAUGCUCCCCUGGAAGAAUUGCGAAAGGAAUUAAGGCUAUCGCCAGAAAUUUUUUUGGAAGGGGCAGAGUUGUAUGGGAUUAUAAGACUACUUACAUUUUCACAACCCCUGCGAAACUCCAAUCUGUUUUGAACGGGUAUUUGCUUUGGUGCCACGGUAAAGCCACCCAAAUCUAUGUAAAUCCAUGGUUUAUGUGCAUAACCACGUGGAAAAUUCAAGUCACAGACCAUUUUGAUAGCAAAGGGACAUGCAUACAAACAUGCCACUACAAAUUAUGGAAACUAUCAGAUAUUCAAUCUGAAUACAUGCAUACAAGCAUAGAGCAGUGACUUGCAGUCCAGGUAACAAGAUUCCACUUCUCCCCAUUACAAAAAUUACAAUAAAUUUGAGGGAUACUAAGAGCAGGGACCCCAAUUACUCAUGCACGGGCAAUGAGAGAAAAAAGAAGUUCUAGAUCAAAUCAUGUGUACGGCAUCACCUCCUAACAGGUGGUACAGCACCUCUACCAGGUGCUGCACGCCCAGCAGCUUGCGCCUGCACAAUAAGAAGAGAUCAAGUCAGGUAACUUCCAAUCACACAGUUUUUUAAGACAUUUGAAGCGUCAUAUUUCUUACACAUGUAGAUCAGAUCCAUAUGCAUUGAAUUUACCCAGAAUACAGAGGUAUUUCGAACUUAAAAAGAUUUGAAAGAUGAUACAAAAGCAAACCCCUAAACGAAAAAAAUUCAAAAGAAAAAGAACUUACUUUAGCUCGCAUUGCAACAGAUCUACCCCUGCCAACUCCUAGAGAUGUGCUCUUACCCUUGAUUCUAGCAUCCAGGCGCUUGAACAUUGGAGCAUUCUUCAGCAUAUCUGGUAUUACCAUAAACCUGACUUUGCUGCCUCUAAUAAAAACAUGCUCAAGCUGUGACACCUUUCCAUCCUUAGCAGUGUAAGUGAUACUCUCAAGUUGACAAUUCCAAUUGUCUUCGCACUCCACCAUGCUCCCUCUGUAAAGCUCACCGCUUUUCAGCUCCACCGUCACGAUGUGGCCCGACGCCUCAUGUAGCAGCUUCACUGGUAUCCCUAAGCUCCGGCUCAUGGUUUGCUUCUCUCUCUCUGUAUCUCUCUGCAAAACCCUAGCUAACCCACCAAGGACCCAAAC
rnacentral:misc_RNA from 1 species